CAAACGUGUAAGCCAUUCUAAGAAGCCACCAGAGUUUGAGUUUUUUAAAUAAAUAUUUUAACAAUGCAACUAUCGUUUCUAUCGUUAGUUUUUGCCAUAGUUUUCGUUAUGGCGAUCAUAUACGCACCCGGAACGGAAGCAGAAGCUAUAUCCAACCCUGAUGCGAUGGGCGGAGCCGAACCGUUCUUGAUAGAUACCCUUACGAAACUUUUUGGGAAAAAGAAGUAAUAUUUUACGUGGAGCAAAAUUUAACUAAAACUCGCAACCGAGAAGCUGGAAAAAAGAUUGCAGUAAAAAUGUAGGAUAUACAAAGGAUGCAUAUAAUUAAUGUGUAUUUUUAAGCAAGAAUAUAAAUUAUAUUUGUAAGCUUCUAUUGCAUCUGUUCUUUUCAUAAUUGCAAAUUAAACAAGAAGGUUGCAUCAGGCGCCAGUGAAUGGACUCAAUGGCUGGUAUUCACAGUCAGAUCUUUUAUUUAAAAAUAAGCACGUCUUAAGUUAAUCGCACGAUGCUGUAUGGAACGUUUUAUUGGCUACGGAGGAGCCUGCAGAUGAUCUCAAGACGAUCUUAUCAUAAAUGUUGAGAUCUAUGACUACCGGACAAUCUGAAAUAAUUUGCCGAGUGUGACCAUUGUCAGGCUUCUCUUUAAUACCGACGUGUGCAAUAUUUGUGACUUACUUGACCAUCUCUCGGUAUACUACUCUGUAGUAUGCUGGUAAUUUCUUGACGUUUGCAUUACCAGCCUAGUCGUAGGGUUUGCGCAUGACUCGCAGAAGAUGUCGCGUCAAUGAUCCUUUCGAUAGCGGUCUGCAGAAUCCCGGAGGGAUGGCUGAUUCGCAGUCAUUUGGACUUAGCGAACCCACGCACCCAAUGUAAUAAACAUAUAAAGCAAAGUCCAUUUAAAAAAUAAUACGCAAAAUAUGAAUAAAAACCAGACCUUCUAUGCAUCUGAUAUAAAGACAAUAAAAGACAAUGAAAACUGAAUAAGUAUUAUAAAUUAUGUUUAGCCUGUCAAUUGCACUUAUUCAUAUAAGUACAUAUAUUCAGAUUUGUAGUGAAAAUCUUGUAGCGCAUCUCACACGUUCAGAUAAUUUGACUCGGUUACUCGUUACAAAUUGUACCUAGCUUAUAGUUUUCUAUCCAUUCGAUCACAUUUGUCCACACAGGAAGUUUAACAAAUAAAAGUAUAUCCAGAGUUUUUUAA